CCUACGAGGUGCAGCAGUGGGGAAUAUUGGGCAAUGGGCGCAAGCCUGACCCAGCACCGCCGCGUGAAGGCAGCAGGCUUUCUGGUUGUAAACUUCUUUUAUGAGGGAAGAGCAGAAGACGGUACCUCUUGAAUAAGCCACGGCUAACUACGUGCCAGCAGUCGCGGUAAUUCGUAGGUGGCAAGCUUUUUCCGGCUUUACUGGGUGUAAAGGGCGUGUUGCCGGGCAGACAAGUCAGAUGUGAAAUUCCGGGGCUCAACCCCGGACGUGCAUUUGAAACUGUUGGUCUUGAGUAUCGGAGAGGCAGGCGGAAUUCCUAGUGUAGCGGUGAAAUGCGUAGAUAUUAGGAGGAACACCAGUGGCGAAGGCGGCCUGCUGGACGACAACUGACGGUGAGGCGCGAAAGCGUGGGGAGCAAACAGGAUUAGAUACCCCUGUAGUC
rnacentral:rRNA from 1 species